CUGUAUAUGCGAAAGAUUAACCAUGCCCCCGGCACCAGAGAGGUCCAGGAUCCUGGCGCCCGCCGGCUCAAGAGCUCCACGUCCCCCUCCUCAGAGGUGGCCGGGCUGGGCAGAGCCAUCGCUCACGAGCCCCUCAGCUCCCAGACAUGGGGCCAGUCGUUCUCACCAGCCGCGCCCGCAGAGCGCCCAGACCCCGUCCCGGACCCCCGGCACAGCCCGGCCUCCUGGAGACGCCCCACGCCCCCCGGCGCUGACUCCCCCCGCCUGGGCACCUCCUACGACCGGGGCCACAAGACGGCGGGGGUCUCCCCCAGGGAGCCGUGGUCCAGCAGGGGUCAGGGGUCAUUGGACCAGGGGGAGGGGAGGAGCGGGCCGGGGAGCCGUCCCUGGGGCCGGGAGCGCCAGGCGGACCGCCACUAGAGCAGCGGCGCUGGAUCAGGACGUUCCCACCGGGGAGGCUCGCACUCAAUCUCAACUGCUCCAGGAAGGCCCCCGGGGGGGUCCCCAACGAACCCUCCUGGCUGCCCCCUCCUCC
ensembl:lncRNA